rnacentral:rRNA from 1 species
UACAGAGGUGCCAAGCGUUAGGCAGAAUCACUGGGCUUAAAGCGCGUGUAGGUGGAUGGGUAAGUACCUUGUGAAAUCCCACGGCUCAACCGUGGAACUGCUUGGUAUACUGCUUGUCUUGAGGCACUCAGGGGCAGCUGGAACAAAUGGUGGAGCGGUGAAAUGCGUAGAUAUCAUUUGGAACGCCAAAGGUGAAAACAGGCUGCUGGGAGUGAUCUGACACUGAGACGCGAAAGCCAGGGGAGCAAACGGG